GACGAGGUGGCCGAGCGGUCUAAGGCGCAAGGUUCAGGACUAUCUGGGUCCAUUCAGAGGUGACGAUUCUAGUCCGAAAGGGCGGGGGUUCAAAUCCCACCCUCGUCA
rfam:Gonium pectorale scaffold00452, whole genome shotgun sequence.